GUGCUCGCUUCAGCAGCACAUAAACUAAAAUUGGAACGAUACAGAGAGGAUUAGCGUGACCCCUAUGCAAGGAUGACACCCAAAUGAUCAUUUAAAAGUUCUU
ensembl:snRNA U6 U6 spliceosomal RNA